CUGGAGAUUGAUUGAUAUAUAAAUAUGGGUCUCAAUGAGCCCUUAUAGUGGAUAUUGACGGUAAUUGGUCCACUAUAGGAGUAGGGUGUGCAUCAAGAUAGGAUCUAUCAACUUUGAUAGAGAGGAGUAGUCCUAUGAAAUUUGAGAAGCUAAUUCCAUGAAUCUAUGGCCAUAGUAGAGUAAUUGAUGGAAAAGAGUUUUCAUAUACAUCACAUCUGGACUUGAGCUAACCAAAUCUAUCAUAUAACUGAUGUUAAGGUUUG
rnacentral:lncRNA from 1 species